rnacentral:rRNA from 1 species
ACCUACGGGGGGCAGCAGUGGGGGAUAUUGCACAAUGGGGGAAACCCUGAUGCAGCGACGCCGCGUGAGUGAAGAAGGGUUUCGGCUCGUAAAGCUCUGUUGGGAGUGAAGAAAGAUAGAGGUAGUAACUGGCCUUUAUUUGACGGUAAUUACUUAGAAAGUCACGGCUAACUACGUGCCAGCAGCCGCGGUAAUACGUAGGUGGCAAGCGUUGUCCGGAUUUAUUGGGCGUAAAGCGAGUGCAGGCGGUUCAAUAAAGCUGAUGUGAAAGCCUUUGGAGCAAAC